UUGUCCCCAACAACCAACCACGGGCGGCCUUAGGUGGACCCAGGAGCCACUGUCUAAGUCAGAGAGAGAUGAGAAGGAAUUCAUUCGUAGCAACAUAAAGGUCACUUU
rnacentral:lncRNA from 1 species